UGAACGCUGGCGGCGUGCUUAACACAUGCAAGUCGAGCCGAGAAAGCCUCCUUCGGGAGGCGAGUAAAGCGGCGGACGGGUGCGUAACACGUGGAUGACCUGCCUGAGAGUGGGGAAUAACUUGGGGAAACUCGAGCUAAUACCGCAUACGCUCGUACGGUUGCGACCGUGCGAGGAAAGUUGGCCUAUGUUUACAAGCUGACGCUCACAGAGGGGUCCGCGCCUGAUUAGCUAGUUGGUGGGGUAACGGCCCACCAAGGCGACGAUCAGUAGCCGGCCUGAGAGGGUGAUCGGCCACACUGGGACUGAGACACGGCCCAGACUCCUACGGGAGGCAGCAGUGGGGAAUAUUGGACAAUGGGGGCAACCCUGAUCCAGCAACGCCGCGUGGAGGAUGAAGGCCUUCGGGUCGUAAACUCCUGUCAGUAGGGACGAAAAGCCCUUGGUCAAUAGCCUUGGGUCAUGACGGUACCUGCAGAGGAAGCCCCGGCUAACUCCGUGCCAGCAGCCGCGGUAAU
rnacentral:rRNA from 1 species